GAAGAAAUCUGGACCAGAUAAACACCAACAUCAGCUCCAUACGUCGUGUGUCCCUUCAUUUAAAAAGCAACUCGACUCAAGUGAAUUGAUCACUGAAGGGUGACGGAAUCCAGUUCAAGUGGACAAAUAAAAGUGAGCAGUCAUGGAUUUCUUCAAGGCAGUGGGUGCUGUGGCAUCAGGUGUGGCAGAGGGCACAGUGGGCAUGGUCAGAGCCGUGGUGGAUGUUCCUGUAGGGAUGGUGAAAGGCGCCGCUAACAGUAUGAAAGAAGCUGGUGAUAAAAUCACCAGUGUCAGUUCACCGGGUGAAGGUGUUGAUGCUGUGUUCGGUCUCAUCGCCUCUCCAGUGACCGGCGCAUUGUCCGGAGGAACAAAAGAGAUCAUCAAAGCGCCUGGAAAAGUAGUGCAGGGCAUCGCAGAUGGCAUUGAGAAAGUUUUAGAUGACUAAUUUAGAGCGGAGAGAUUUGUUUGAAUAAAUCACUAUAAACAAUCAGCUUUUCCCCUCUUUAUUUCUCUUUAUCCUUUAGUAAUUGCAACAGCAAGAAUAUUUUUCACAGACAUGAUGCUGAAGAUGUUGAUCGUUAAUAUGUUAUAAAUGUUCACUUAGCAACAACAGUCUGUCUGUAUUGGAAUGAAAUAUGUGCAAUUGGGAUUUGAACUUGUUUUCUUGAACUUGAAUUUCAUAAACCUGAAAUGAACUAUUAAUAAACGAGAGUUUUUAGAGUUUGCAUCAGGGCAGAACAAGUAACUGACUCUAGAGAGAGGUGGCGGCUCUCGUUCAUUCAUGAUCUCACAUUGGCACUAUUUCACAGCGAACGCCUCCUUUUCUUACGGAGAACUGUGUUGUGAUUGGCCAAGAAGGAGUUUGAUUAAAUACAGGCUCGAUUGCUCUUCUUGAGUGCCCCAGAAUCUGAAUAUAAAACCUCAAUCAGUGUAUUAAAAAUGUUUUAUCAAUUCGUUCCACGUACAGUGUUCAUAACAACAUGUUCAAAUUCAAGUCCCAAUGGCACAUAUUUCAUCCCAUAGUCUGGAACGACAGGAUGUAUUUACUUUUUUAUUGUUAUGGAUAUUUCAAUAAAAACUCU